GUUGCGUCGAAAAUUUUCAGAUUCCUGCACUCGCUGUCGUCCCCCACUGGACUGGUUGCCUUCCAGUCGGUCGACUCAUGCGACUGUGUUGCCCUGAAUGUCGCCUGCCGCUCUCAUCCGGGCGUUUAGGGAUUGAGCCGUCGACUCAGUACCGCUCAGGAUGACAGCUUUUAGAUGAAGGAGGGGGAAUAACGUGAGACAGGGAAGGAAAGGGAGAGAGAGAGAGUGGUGGUCAGUCUAGUGGUGGUACCAUAUGAGGGGUGAGAGGGGGAAUUACAACAAUACGAUUAAUAUGCGCAUAAUUUGCAUCUCUAAAUGUGGUUUAAUUUUUUUAUUCAGAAGAUAUCCGAGUGAUCAUCCAAUCGCAUUCAUUUUUUAUUUUAUUUUUUUAAUUAACAUUUUCAACGAGUGUAUGAACUUUGCUUUAAAUCAGUGUUUGCUCAUUGCCCUCUUGAGAUAAAUGCCAGGAGGCCCAUCGAAUAAUACCCGUUCAAUGCAUUUUUCCUGGUAAGGAUGACACAACCAACAACCGGUCACGCUGAACUGAGUGUACCCUCAGAUCGAGUUAAGAGCAAACACACUGUCCUGUUCAAUCCCUGGAUUCGUUUUUAUGGUCGGGACUGAACGGAUGAGUGCGAGCUCCUCGGUAGAAAAUCGAUUAAUUGGCCACAGCGUUCAUUGACCUCACUCUUAUCCUGUGCCUUAGAGGUGAAAUGCGGGCUGUUUGGUUUCAGGGGUGGAUGGUAAUGUUUAAUCCGUCCACAUAUUGUCAUUUAUAAUGACUGUAGCCACGUGCGCAAGGCAUAAAUGUGUUACAUAACCGGCCGAGCCAGUCAACAACAGUGGGUGGAAGAGAGAGAGAGGGGGGGGGUGUCGUUUGGAGGGUAAUUAAACCUCAAUUCAGGGAUUUCUUAGACACAUGGAUAUAUUGAAUAUUUAGAAAAUUGAAAAAAGAAACUCCUCCCAAUUUGAUCUCUUGCACCACACCUUCCCAGUUUAUACCUUUGAAGAGUGCCUUCAAGGUUUUAUAAAAUCACACUCUGAAUUUCCAAAAUCCCUGUAGCCAUGAUG
ensembl:lncRNA